CAAACUCUGUAUGCGGCACGUGGCAGUUACUCAUUUGGCACACUAACAAGUUGAUUUGUGUUUGAGAAGAUUUUUUUUUAAUUUACGUCUGACAGGAAAGACCUUCUGCUCUAUAAUGGACCGUUUUGAGUAGAGCUGCUGUCUGCCACACAUCUGGACAACAUCCCCACACUGGAAGGUUUAUGAACCCAGACAAACCUUGCAUCCUAAUGGCCACCUUCCAGUGCAAAGUUGACAUUUCCUAUGUCCAUAUUCAUAAGAAAUUGUCCUCCUCCCCCCCCAACAGAAAUAACAAUGAUUUUGUUAUUUUUUAGCUUUCUCCAAACCUGGAGCAAGCACAAAAGCUUUUAUUUUUCUUAGGACUGAGUGAGAGCAGUGAUGUGCUGGUGCUUCAGGAACAUUCCUGCCCAAGAAUGUCUUGACAGAGAACAGUCCUGAUCACCUCCACUGUGGUUGUGUUUCGUGAUUUCUGGAUUAACUUCCAGAAUUUCAGAUCACUUAGAACAUUUCUAUUUAACAUGCCUUUGAGACAGUCAAGUUGAGGGCAUUACACACAUGCUGUGUGCAUGCUGGACUGGAUGGAGGGCCUCCAAAUCACUCAGAGGCCUCGCACAGGACGGACACCGGAGCCCGGUGAGGAGUGAAGCUGGCAGCGCGCCGCCCGGCACCCCGUCCUGCCGCCGUCCCCCGAGGCGCACGGCGCGGCACGGCAGCACCUUGGACAGAGGCGCACCGCACA
rnacentral:lncRNA from 1 species